rnacentral:rRNA from 1 species
UACGUAGGGUGCGAGCGUUGUCCGGAAUUAUUGGGCGUAAAGGGCUCGUAGGCGGUUUGUCGCGUCGGGAGUGAAAACCUUGGGCUUAACUCAGGGCUUGCUUUCGAUACGGGCAGACUAGAGGUAUGCAGGGGAGAACGGAAUUCCUGGUGUAGCGGUGAAAUGCGCAGAUAUCAGGAGGAACACCGGUGGCGAAGGCGGUUCUCUGGGCCGUAACUGACGCUGAGGAGCGAAAGCAUGGGGAGCGAACAGG